UGGGGAAUUUUGGACAAUGGGCGAAAGCCUGAUCCAGCAAUGCCGCGUGUGUGAAGAAGGCCUUCGGGUUGUAAAGCACUUUUGUCCGGAAAGAAAUCCUUGGCUCUAAUACAGUCGGGGGAUGACGGUACCGGAAGAAUAAGCACCGGCUAACUACGUGCCAGCAGCCGCGGUAAUACGUAGGGUGCAAGCGUUAAUCGGAAUUACUGGGCGUAAAGCGUGCGCAGGCGGUUUGCUAAGACCGAUGUGAAAUCCCCGGGCUCAACCUGGGAACUGCAUUGGUGACUGGCAGGCUAGAGUAUGGCAGAGGGGGGUAGAAUUCCACGUGUAGCAGUGAAAUGCGUAGAGAUGUGGAGGAAUACCGAUGGCGAAGGCAGCCCCCCUGGGCCAAUACUGACGCUCAUGCACGAAAAGCGUGGGGAGCAAAACAGGAUUAGAUACCCCUGGUAGUCCACGCCCUAAAACGAUGUCAACUAGUUGUUGGGGAUUCAUUUCCUUAGUAACGUAGCUAACGCGUGAAGUUGACCGCCUGGGGGAGUACGGUCGCAAGAUUAAAACUCAAAUGAAUUGACGGGGUCAUAGCUGUUUCCU
rnacentral:rRNA from 1 species